UACAUAGACUGCAAGCGUUAUUCGGAUUCACUGGGCGUAAAGGGUGCGCAGGUGGCCGUGUGUGUCAGAUGUGAAAUCCCGGGGCUUAACUCCGGAACUGCGUCUGAAACUACACGGCUAGAGCAUUGGAGAGGGUAGUGGAAUUCACGGUGUAGCAGUGAAAUGCGUAGAUAUCGUGAGGAACACCAGAGGCGAAGGCGACUACCUGGACCAACACUGACACUGAGGAGCGAAAGCCAGGGGAGCAAACGGG
rnacentral:rRNA from 1 species